UACGUAGGUGGCAAGCGUUGUUCGGAAUUAUUGGGCGUAAAGAGCUCGUAGGCGGCUUGUCGCGUCGGAUGUGAAAGCCCGGGGCUUAACUCCGGGUCUGCAUUCGAUACGGGCAGGCUAGAGUUCGGUAGGGGAGAUCGGAAUUCCUGGUGUAGCGGUGAAAUGCGCAGAUAUCAGGAGGAACACCGGUGGCGAAGGCGGAUCUCUGGGCCGAUACUGACGCUGAGGAGCGAAAGCGUGGGGAGCGAACAGG
rnacentral:rRNA from 1 species